rnacentral:lncRNA from 1 species
CAAGGAUUUAUCGAAGUUAUUAAAAGGGUUAAAAAUCACGAUAACACAAUCAACGGGGAAACAAAGAAAAGUUGCACUAAACAAUACAAAUAAUUAGGCUUUUAAGCCUAAAUCGCUUCUUCCUGCUGCCACGAUCAAAUUGGACUCCCAAGUCCAAAAGAAAAAAAAUUCCAUUCUCUGUCCUUUGUGACUGCUGCUGUUCAAAUUGAACUUUCAAAGUCCAAAAUCCCAUUGUUUUAGUCUUUUGGGACUACUGCUGAAACCUGUAUAAAUUGGACUUUCUAUAGUCCAAAAUUCCCAAUUUUAGUCCCUUGGGGAUUGCUGCUACUGCCGACUUCUUGGGUGUUUAACCCAAUAAAACUAUCUUCCCUUUCACGACUUGAUGGAGGUCGACUCGAAUAGAGGAGGAUACAAGAGAUAUGAGUCCAUUGGACUCAUUCGGAGAGAGUAUUCAUGCACCAAGAAAAAGUGAGAAAGAUUAACAACGUUAUUAAAAUAAUAUUAACUCUAGCUUAAAACAAUCAAUCAACAUUUGAGAAGUCUGUCUAUGCAAACAAUGUCAUGUAAGCUCAAAAAUCUAAGUGACAUGCUUAUAACUGCUGAAAUUAUACUAACCAAUUAACUAUAAUUAUCUAUGAGUGAAAAUAAAAUAAAGAUAGAGAUUUUCCAGAUAUUAGUUUAGACUUGAUAUCCCACAAAUAUGAACUAAAGUAAAGAACUACAUCAAGUAAGUAUGGACUCAUUUCUUAAGGAACCAAUCUAAUGCCGACACGAAUUUAAUUUAAAACACGACACAAAUGACCAUAUUUAAACACAAUCAAUGAGAAAAAUCUACCAAAAGAAGUAGCAUGAGGGAUAAAUUUAAACAGAAUCCUAUCAGGAGUUAUCGAACCGAAAUUGUAACAAAGAAUAUCUAAGAGUAUUCGAGGAUAACACUUGGAAGAUUUAUGUCAUUUUGAGAAUAGAUUAACAACAAACUGGUAAAGAAAAAAAAUCGAUAUCUUUGCACCUACGAUUAGUAAAUGAACAUGGAACAUAUUUGUAAUAUCGAAACUGUUUGAACGUCAUACCGUUUCAUAAACAAUUCGCAAUUAGUAUAAGCAAAACAACAAUGGCAAUAUUCAGCCACAACUUAAAAUAAAGCAGCAACUAAAUAGAGGCUUCUUAGCCCAUUUUUCUAUUAAGUAACCUCUUACUAAAUACAACUUUUGCUAUUUGGAACAGAUUCAAUCAAAUGGCACGCUAAGCCAAAACUCAACACUACUCACAGAGGUGUACAAAAUUCAAUCACUUUUGGAUUUAACAUUAAAACAUCUGGUAGGACUAUGAAUGAACAAGACAGCAUAACACGAAAAUCACAUAAUACUAAUUGACAUGUAUUAACAUAAUUAUGCUUAAGUUAGUGAAAAUAACAAAUCAUAGCAAAGACUUUAAAGUACUUUAGGCUAACAUGCUAAGUUUCUUUAAAUUGACAAGAAAAUUAUCCAAAAACAAGUGAAGGACAAGCUAAUCAUUUUAGAAAAUGAGCAAAUCAAGAAAUGAUCACGAUUAGCAACACAUAACAUUGAGUUUCCAAAUACAACAACACAUAUAUAACAUCUAAUAUUUAAACUAAUAAUCAGAAAAUAGGACGGAUUCCAAACCAAUUAAGCCAAUGCACACAAUUUCGGAUCUAUAGCUCAAAGGAAUGACAUGAGGAUCUAAUGGAUUUAGGAGCAACCAAAGAGAAAUUGAAUUAAAAUUCAACUUCAUCUAGAGCUCAACUAAACCUAGGAUCAACUCAUGAUUUCCGAACAAAUAAAAUCCCUAACAUAAGAAGCAAGCAAGAUACCCACAUUGUGAAAAAGGGAACUGAAUGUAAAAUGAAGAAAGUAGGGGUUCACUCUAAGGGAGCAUAUGUAAAAGUAGAAUUGAGAUUGAGUGUACGAUAUACGAUGGCUUAAACCCAACGACUACAAACAAACUGAAUUGAGUAUAAGGAAUGUCAUAUUAAACUAUGAAACAAGUUCAUAAUAUAAACAGUAACUAAACUUGAACAAGUCACAUCAGCAUUUUAAUCAUACAUGACUUAAGAAAUCUGAUAAAAAACAUGAUACAAAAUAAUCUUGAAUGAUAAUUUUGAGACCUUAGAUUUUAUAAACUUAUAAAGACAAAAAAAAGAAAGAUAGAAACUAAUCCAAGUACUAACACUUUUAUCCAUUUUAUGGAGCAUGAGACAGAUGCUUAAGAAAAUAGUAGAGGAGCAACCAUUGUAAUCGAAUUAGCAAGAGUAAGACAUUUUUAGACCGUUUUCAAUCAUCACAUGCAAUACAUAAUUAACCAAACAGAAUUUACUAUUACUCAUAACAUGAUUCACAUUUAACGGAAAAAAAACUUAAACUUAGCUCAGCUACACCUGUAACCUACUUAAAACCUCAUGACUCAACCUAGUUUAUAAACAAGCAGUAAAUUUCUCCAGAAACAUAACUACCUUUAAAUUGGCUCUAACACAAAACACAACAACAUGGACUAAAAUUAAACUAAUAAUAGAAAGGGAAAGGAAGGAAUUACCUGGUUCUGGGCAGCGACUGGAACUCAAGCCUGAACGUGACGAACUCCACCACCACUUCGACUCAAAAUAGCCGCGAAUCAAUAGAAUUUCAGUAACGAAAAUAAGAACUCCCAAAAACUUAGCGGGGUGCUCUUUUCUUCGCCUCCAAACUCUGAUUGAAUAGUGUGAAAAAGGCCUAUUUAUAGGGCCUAAAAUCUUUGAGAUUUGGAAAGAUUUUCGAUGUGGGAAUACAGGAUUUUCAAAUAUCCUUGAGCAGAUAAGGCUUGAGGAGCUGUCAAUAGUACAAAUUUCUAACGGUAAAGAGGGGAGAGUCAUCUGAUUUUGAGGCAAGAAUGAACUCGGAAGGAGAUGGAGACACUUGGACUUGUCCUUCAACGUUUUCGUACGAACGUAUAAGAAUAGAGUAGAGGGAUGCGGGAGGUCGCGAUUCAGCACGCGAUUUAGGUCGCGUCUGGUUCGUCUCUGUACUGGUUUUUUGUUGGGUCUGCAUCGCCGCAAGGAAGAUGCAGUAAAGGGCUCAGUCGGGUACUGCUUGGAAUUGAUGUGCGUAUGUAUGUAUUUGAUGGGUGUUCGGUCUGUUUUGGCUUGAAAGGAAUUGGGCUGGGUUGGGUAUAAUUGCUUUGGGCUGAAAAUGGGAUUUUUGGGCUCAUCAAGUUAAGGGUCCAAUUGGAUAUCAAAGGGAGCAGGUCCCUUGGUCUCUAUAAUUCAUCAAAUCGAACUAUUUAGUUCAAAUUUGAUAAAAUGGAAACGAGAUAAAUUAUGAACUUAAUUAAUUAUUUAAGCUUCUUAACUUCGACAACACAAAUAGUUAUUUCGAAGAGAAAGAUCUUUAUUAAAUUGUGAUCAGUUUUAAAGGAAAUACGAUACAUACUUAAUUAAAACUCUAUUUUUGGUAAAACGUUUUACUAACUAUUUAUUCAAAUUGAAAAAUUAUAUAAAUCUAUAUAUUUAAGUAUACAGAGAUAUAUUUUAUAGUAAAAAUGGAAAAUUGCCUUGAAAAUAAUUUCAAAAGUAAUUUUGUUUUUUUUUUCAAAAUAAUUACUUCAAUUUGUUCGAAAUUUAAGAAGCUUGAAAAUUAAUUAAAUUGUGGAUGGUCAAAAUUGGGUGUCAACAACUGCCCCUCGUUUGACUAGGAUGGAUGAAAGAUAUCCGAGGCAAAUGAAAUUGACGAAUCCAAUUUUGUCCACCCACUAAUUCAUCUCUUUGGAAUGGUUAAUGAUAAGGCUUUUUAGGAAUCGUGACCGGACCCUGGUAUUGGGUUUCCUACAUAUCUCAGGUUACAUGAGAACUCAGGCCACUAGUAGUUCGAAAGACGCUUGAUUUAACUCACAAUUUUGAAAAAAUGCAAAAGCUAUUUCGCUGUCGAAGUAUGGAGAGAUCGAAAAGCUCGAGAAUAGAGUGCUGACAGAAUUGUUGGAGUACUGUCGAGUUUUCAACAUUAAGUCCGCCUACAUAUCCCUAAACUUUGGGAAUCAGACUGCUUGUAGUUCGACUCAAUCGGUUGGAAAGGAAAUCUCUUAUGCGGAAAAAGCCUUUAAUUUAAGGAUGAGUGACAAAUUAAUUGAGCGUAGAAAAGAGGCUUGCAAGCAUCUCAACUAUGAAUGUGGGUCCCUUCACACCCCUAUGUAAGAACUUACAUGGACAUAACUUCCAAAGCUUUAGGUGUAUUGUCACUCGAAUUUGAAAUAAUGCCUCCGGUGAGAGUUGAAGUUUCACUAAAGACGAAACUGAAACUAUUAAACCCAAGAAAUACCCACACACCUUAUGAUAGGGAUGUGGUUUGAUUGUGGUGGAAGUCCUUUCUCAACUCGCGUCCUAAGAGUUUGAUAUUCCUCUUUGGACUAUGUCCCAGUUCGCUGCUAAGAAAAAGUUCCACGUUGUGUUGUGUCCUAUUUGGCAUAGUCCACUUUGUGUAUUGAAAAGUCUGGAAAACAAUUGCCAGUAGAAAAGUGUAACAUAAAUACAAAUAUAAUUUGUGCAAACCUGGUUUAACAUGUCGGAGAUGACGAUCCAAUUUCAAGUGUACUGCUCACGAAGAACGUGGUGAUCCAAAGUGAUGUGUCAAUUUGAACGAGGUGAUGAUUCAAUAGCAUGAUAUAACGUGUCACUUUUUAUGGAGGUGACGUACCAACGUGUCACUUUUUAGGGAUGUGACGUCCCAAUAUAAUAUAACCUUGUGUUUAAGGGAGGUAACGUCCCAAUAUAAUAACAACGCAUCACUUUGAGGGAAAUGACUACCCAAUGUAAUAUAAUGUGUCACAUUCAGGGAGGUGACAACCCAAUAUAAUAAUUAUGUGUCAUUUUGAGGACAGUGACAGUUCAAUUUAAUAUAACGUGUCAUAUUCAGGAAGGUGACGCUCCAAUAAUAAUUUAAUGGGGCACGCUGAAGGAAGUGACGCUCCAAUAAUAAUUUAACGUGUCACGUUGAAGGAAGUGGCACUCCAAUAAUAAUUUAACAUGUCACGUUGAAGGAAGUGACACUCAAAUAAUAAUAUAACGUGCCACAUUGAAGGAAAUGACGCUCCAAUAAUAAUUUAAUGUGUCACGUUGAAGAAAGUGACGCUCCAAUAAUAUAAUAUGUCACGUUGAAGGAAGUGACUCUCCAAUAAUAAUUUAACGUAUCACGUUGAAGGAAGUGACGCUCUAAUAAUAUAAUGUGUCUCGUUGAAGGAAGUGACUCUCCAAUAAUACUUUAACGUGUCACGUUGAAGGAAGUGACGCUCCAAUAAUUUAACGUGUCACGUUGAAGGAAGUGACUCUCCCAAUAAUAAUUAAUGUGUCACGUUGAAGGAAGUGACGCUCCAAUAAUAAUUUAACGUGUCACGUUGAAGGACGUGACGCUCCAAUAAUAAUUUGACAUGUCACGUUGAAGGAAGUGACGCUCUAAUAAUAAUUUAACGUGUCACGUUGAAGGAAGUGAUGCUCCAAUAAUAAUUUAAUGUGUCACAUUGAAAGAAGUGACACUCGAAAAUAGAGAAUAAGGUUGUAACAAAGUAAUCUGAUUAGCUUCUUGUAGUUUGUGAAGCUGGUAAUAUCUCCAGUUGUCAUUAAAACUUUGUCGCCCCUGCGCUCAUAGAAAAUUUAUUAGAUAAGAAUAGAGAAAUUAAUAAAUGUCAAGACUUUUGAACGAGUAAUGAUGAUUUGGUAGCCAUAGAGAGCACGGGAAUCUGGAAGAACGAUUUGAGAACUUUAAAUGUUCAAAAGAGGCACUAAUGGACAAUUAGGGAUAUCAUAUAAGGUGUGCCCCUACUUUAAAUGGAUUUCUUGUAGAGAGAAGAUUGGUUUGAUAAAGGAUAUUUUUGAGACUUGAAGUUGAACGAAGAUUUUGAGAACUUUGAACUAUUUCAAAAGGUUGCCCCUGUUUCCAAUCCAAGGGUGCUUAACUAAAAAAAUUUGCAAAAAAUAACAGAUGACUGAUUCAAAAACAUGCCCCAGUUUCCUCUAAGGCUUGUAAUUUAAAACAGUAGGAAAACCAAAUCCUUAUAUAGGAUUGCCUACGUAUCUUGCUGGAACAAGAAAUCAGGUCUGACGUAGUUCGAACCUGAAACUUAAAAGAAUUCUUGGAGAAAGAAAAAAAUGAAAUUUUCCUUAAAAGGGGCAAAAGAAUUGAAAUAACGAAAAACAAAUUUCGUCAACGCAGAAUAGAGGAUAAGAUUCAGCUUGCUGGACUGGAUCCUCGGGUGUCGGGAAUCCUUCAUUAUGAAAUUUGAAAAAGGUUGGCUCCUGCCAUUUUUCUGAUGAAUAUCUGAUUUGAUCAUUCAAAAUUUCCGAAGAUCUUUUGAAACUUUGCCUUCAAUUCUGGUAAUGAUACCUGCAAAACUCAAUCAUGAGUUAGUAACAAAAUAAAAUUAUCAAAGUAAAUGAUAUAACAAAAGAUAAGUUAAGGAUAAAGUUGUUCAACUUAUAUUGGUCUGAUAACGUCUUAUGGUCUUCGCCAUUGUGCUAAGAUAUUCCAUCUGUAAAAUUGAGAAUGUGUAAGUCACAAUAAAGCGAAAGGAAAUUUUUAGAAGAUGAGGAAGAGUAGAAAUCAUCUGAGUUAUGACGAGGCUGAUGUGGGUCCAAUGAUGCCUUGUAACUUUGUAGUUCCUGCAUUCAAAGAAAAAUUCUUAGUUUUGAGAGACUGAUUCAUGUUGGCUUUGCCUUGCCAUCCUGAUGCUCCUUUGCCUUCUGGAUUACAAGCUUGUCUGUUCUUGAAAUGUCGCUUGAUGGAAUUUUUGAGGACCUCCUCAAAAAUUUUGCCCCGGUUUAAAACAUAAUAUAACUUUUAAACUUUUUGUAGUUUUUAGUUGAAUUUUUGAGAUUCAUUCUGCCCCAGUUGUAACUCUGAAGUGAUCCUUGAUUCUGGCUUGUUGAAAAAAGUCCUCUUUAAACGAAUUUUGAGAUCCUCUCAAAAUUCUGCCCCAGUUUCCAUUAUAAAGGAAAAUGGGAAACUUACAGGGAAUAUGACCGAGCCGGUGUGGCACCUACAUCUCCCGAUGAGCAGGAAUCAGGUCGAACGUAGUUCCACUCUCGAGGAUUAACGAAAACAGGAAAAAUUUAACUAAGGAAACGAUUGAGGCCGACAUAGGUCGCCUACGUAUCUCAUUCUUGAGAAUUCGGGUCGAACGUAGUUCAAGUACAAGGAAACAUUAAAAAGGGAUAAAAGAGUGACCGAAGCCAACAUAGGCCGCCUAUGUAUCUCAUUCUUGAGAAUUCAGAUCAGACAUAGUUUAUUACAGAUGAAAGAUGCUUACAAAUAAAAUCCCAAUAAACGAUUACAAAGGAAACAAAGCGAUAAAAAUGUGAUUACAUGGAAAUGAAACAACAAACUCCAAAUUCAAGACUAAAAGAUGCCAAAAGUGCGACUUUUAGGAAACUUGCUUCUUCUUUGCAACUAGGUAUGCCAACAACUACUCCUUGUAGCGGAUUGGUGUUCACAUUCGGUGGAGCUUGAGCAAGUUUUACCACCUCGUUGUCAAUCAAAUCUUGAAUUUUGUGUUUCAGAGUGAUACAUUUCUCGAUAUCAUGUCCAACAACUCCUGAAUGAUAAGCACAACGCUUAUUUGGGUCAUACCACUCGGCUGAAGUAUUCAUAGUCUUGGCUUCCACUGGAUGGAGUAUUCCUACUUCUUUCAAUCUCUCAAAAAGUUGAGUCCGUGUCUCACACAAUGGAGUGAAGACUCGGGGAGGCUUUUUCUCAAAAUUAGGACAAGGUUCAUUGUUUCGAGGAUUUUGCAUUGGUCGUGGAGAACGAAAUGUUGCUUGAUUGUUGCAAACAUAUUAUUGUGAAUUAGGAUAUCCUGGAGGUGGUUGAUGGUUAUAUGAGGUAGCUCUUCGAGUCAUUUACAUCAUAACUUCUUUCUCCUUUUUCUUUCAAAAGGAACCAGUUUGAUAGGCCCUAUUAGCAAAUUGAGAUGAGGUGUAACUUGUUGUUCUUCCAGUCUUGAGGCCGUCUUUAAUCAUUUCUCCAGCCUUGAUAACUUCAGCCAUUGUCACCAUUCGCUCAUUGUAUUAUGAGUCUUGAGCUUGAAUGAAGUAGGUGAUCAUUUCUGAUUCCUCCAUAGGUGGGUGCACCCUAGCAGCUUCUUCUCUCCAACGAAUGACAUAUUCUCGAAUGCAUUAAGUCAACUUUGGUUUUAGCUUGGUAAUAGAGAUCCUAUUAGGAGAGAUUUCUACAUGAAACUUUUAGUGAUCCACAAAAGCAUUAGCUAGAUCAUCCUAAGUACGCCAUUUAGUCACAACUUUCUUUGAAUACCACUCUAAGGCUUUUUCCAGUCAGACAUUGAUUGAAUAUCUUGAUUCUUAUCCCUUCGUUGUUUCCAACGCCAAUCAACUUUUCACAGUAAAUUUUCAAGUGAAAGAGAGGAUUUCCUGAUCCACAGAACUUUUCAAACUUCGGAAUCUUGUAACCGGGUGGAAGCUCAACCUCGGGAAAUGAGCACAACUCUUCAUAUCUCACACUUUGUCUACUGUCGAACCCACAAAGACCUCUCAUAGUAUCUUCUAAGCUUUUCAUCUUUUUACUCAUUAUUUCAGCAUCAGUUGAUUUUGUAUCAUUUUCAACUUCAACAUAGUGAUUAACAUCUUGGCGGUGAAACUCUUGAGCCUUGGUAACAGGUGGAGCAGUGACAUAAGUGUACACUGGCGGAGCAUGAUGUGUUACCGUUGGGGCUUUUGGGGGAGUAAAUUAAAUGUGUACACAAGAGGAGUAUCAUGAGUUGAAUGAGUGAGCGAAGCACUUUGAGUUUGCUGAAAGGUGGUAAAAUGAUUUCCUUGAUCGAGCCCACUUGAACUCGGAAACGAAGGUGGCAUAGGCCCUUUUUGGCGAGCAUCAGGUGGUAAGUUUUGAGAAGCAGCUUGGUAUUGUGUUACCAGGAGGUUCCGUUCACCAAUUCGUUGCUCUAGACGAGCGAUGACUUCCAUGGGUGAUUCUGUUGCUACAGAGGUACUAGGAUUGACCGCGACAGAUGGAGUGGCGAUCAUUUCGGACGAAGGACCCGUGUUGAUAGUGGAAUCCAUUUUAGACCGAGUCCUCUUAGUAGUCCAAGUAAGAAAUGAAGAGUCUGUAGAAAUUUCCUUGACCUUAGACCGUGUAAAAUAUGGAUGUUCUGCCAGCGGGUACUUUGGUGAAGUGAACAAGUUUGAUUACCAACACAAAUCAGUUUCUUCUUCUAAAACAACUCAAAAAAUAAGAGAGUUAGUCCAUUAAUCAUAAUAAUCAACCAAAAUAACAUAUAAAACAAAUAACAUUUGAUUUGCUUCAAAUAGAUUAGUCCAAAAUUCAAAGAACAAAGGACUCUAAAAUAGUGACAAAAAAAUUGGGAAAACUUUGAUAAUUUUGUGAGAACGAAAGAAAUGAGUUUGAACCAAGAAAACUAUAUUACUUGAGUAAUGAUUCAAAUGUACCUUUUGGAAGGUUCAAUUGAAAUGCCCUUUCGAGAAACAAAGACGUCUUAAAAUUGACUUGAAACUGAAGGAAUAUUUAGUAACACCGACUAGGUAGGUGUGGAAAAUAAUUUUCAAGAAUGACGAGGUCAACGUAAAUUUGAAUGAUGACCUAAUAAUUUUUAAAGCUCUAUUGAACCUACAACUUGAGUGAAUUUGAAAGUAUUUUGAUUAUGGGGUUAAAGAGUAUUUCAGGAGGGAUAAAAAACUGAGCUGAUAUGCCAAACAUGGUUUUGAGACUUUGGAAUAGAAUAAUGGACCAAUCCUGUUUAAAGCAAAACAUAUGUAUAUAACACAUAAGUAAAAGAAGCACAACAAAACAAAAUUUGUAACAUUUAGUAUAUAAACAAUAUAAAACGCAUCCUAACAUACAUGUGACCUUUUAAGCCAAAGGUAAGCCUAACGUUUGAAGGAUGUGUAUAUCGUUUGUGAAACAUUCUAUUGCCCUACAAAUAUUUAUACAAACUUUAUGAAUAAAACAAAUGGGGAUACAUAAUAGAGGAAAGAGAAAUAAAUAUCAGUCCCAUGCAGGGGUACUAUGGUAAACUAAACUAACUUCCAUAUGAAAUCUUCAUUACUGAACUUCUUGAUGCUUUUGAAUUUCUUCCGGGUGAGGAGGAUGAACUUUGACUUCAACAAAGAAACUACCUUAACAAUAAAAACCCAACCCCAAGGACAAUGGUAUGCACAAAUCGACAUUCAUAUCCUUUAAAUUUAACAAAUAGUUUGAUGAUCGUCUUAUACUGACCGGGGGUCAAUUAGACAUAAGGUGGUCUUCUAAUGGGCCCAACACGCCUUGGGUGUUGGGUCAAUUUAGUUCAAAAUGCGCUAAAUUUGAAUUUGGUUUCGCUCUACGCUAGUUGACUAAGAGUGGCUUUUGAAAGACCGGGAACCCAAGCGGACAACUUAGGCUGGAACUCACAAUAACCAUUGGACGCAUGAUGUACCAAUAAAUUGCCGAUCAUUCCGAAAAAGGGUUGAGUAUAAAAAAGUCCGGCUGCGAUUAUGCAGAAACCGUUCUUUAAUAUAUUAUACAUAUAUCAGAAAAUGCCAAGAAUGUAAUGACAGUAAAUAUUCAAAAUUUAAACACAUAAUUGCAUAAAGUAACAAUUAAUACAAUAAUAGUUAGCCAAACAAUAAAAUCCUUUUGGUUAGAACCUAGAUGAAUCCCCAUCGGAGUCGUCAUUCUGUUACGACCCGAUUUCAAAAACUAAGGUUUCGAAACUACAUUCGCAACUUUGGCAAUUCGUUAAUUUUUUGGAAAAAUGAGUAAUUUGAAAGCCGCCACUUAUUUUUUUAGGAAAAAUUAAGAAAACCUUUUAAAUAAAACCAAAGUCGGGUAAGGGUUCAAAUUAAUUCUCUAAGAAAGAGUUUAGGCAUCUUAGAGAAUCCGCUAACACACGGUUGACCGACAGAUUUAAAAGUUUGGCUAAUUUUAUAAAAUAAAAAGAAUUACUUAUAAAAAAUCUUGUUUGAAACUUAGAUAAAAAAAAUCCUUCGAUACUUGUAAAAAUCUCAAAAAUAAUCCUACCUUGAAACUUUUAUCCAAAGUCAAGUUUUGAACCAUACAAUUAAUUCAAAUUCACCAACAUGGAUCAAGAGACCUUGUUAAACAACUAUGAAAGGGUGAGAAUCCUUAAGUCAUUCAUACAAAGUCUUAAGUUAUUUUAAAAGAGAACUAAUUUAGUUUAAGAAAACUUAACAACUCUAUCCUAGUCAAAAUUUGAACUAAAUAGUUAAUUCAAACUCAUAAACAUGGAUCCAAAGCAUUUCAAUAACUAUGAAAGAACAUGAAAGGUUCUUAAGUUAUUCUAUAAGCUUAAAUUACCCAACUUAAAAGAGGUUUUGAAAUAGAACAGUCAUUAAAAGUCUCCCAAGGAUUCAUCUAAGUAAUUAAGAGGGUUAAAAAUCACGAUAAAACAAUCAACAGGGAAACAAAGAAAAGUUGCAGAACAAUAUGAAAAAUUAGGCUUUUAAGCCUAAAUCGCUUCUUCCUGCUGCCACGAUCAAAUUGGACUCCAAAGUCCAAAAAAAUAAUUUCCAUUCUCUGUCCUUUGUGACUGCUGCUGUUCAAAUUGAACUUUAAAAGUUUAAAAUCCCAUUGUUUUAGUCUUUUGGGAUUACUGCUGAAACCUGUAUAAAUUGGACUUUCUAUAGUCCAAAAUUCCCAAUUUUAGUCCCUUGGGGACUGCUGCUACUGCCGACUUCUUGGGUGUUUAACCCAAUAAAACUAUCUUCCAUUUCACGACUUGAUGGAGGUCAACUCGAAUAGAGGAGGAUACAAGAGAUAUGAAUCCGUUGGACUCAUUCGGAGAGCGUAUUCAUGCACCAAGAAAAAGACAGAAAGAUUAACAACAUUAUUAAAAUGAUAUUAACUCAAGCUUAAAACAAUCAAUCAACAUUUGAGAAGUCUGGCUAUGCAAUCAAUGUCAUGUAAGCUCAAAAACUCUAAGUGACGUGCUUAUAACUGCUGAAAUUAUACUAACCAAUUAACUAUAAUUAUCUAUCAAUGAAAAUUAAAUAAAGAUAGAGAUUUUCUAGAUAUUAGUUUAGACUUGAUAUCCCACAAAUAUGAAC